rnacentral:rRNA from 1 species
UCGAGGGGUAACAGAAAAGCUUGCUUUUGCUGACGACCGGCGCACGGGUGCGUAACGCGUAUGCAACCUACCUCAUACUGGAGGAUAGCCCCUGGAAACGGGGAUUAAUACUCCAUAGUAUCACAAUUUCGCAUGUUAUUGUGAUUAAAGUUUUUCGGUAUGAGAUGGGCAUGCGUCCCAUUAGCUUGUUGGUGAGGUAACGGCUCACCAAGGCAACGAUGGGUAGGGGGCCUGAGAGGGUGGUCCCCCACACUGGUACUGAGACACGGACCAGACUCCUACGGGAGGCAGCAGUGAGGAAUAUUGGUCAAUGGAGGAAACUCUGAACCAGCCAUGCCGCGUGAAGGAUGACGGCCCUAUGGGUUGUAAACUUCUUUUAUAGAGGAAGAAACUUGUCUACGUGUAGACAACUGACGGUACUCUACGAAUAAGGAUCGGCUAACUCCGUGCCAGCAGCCGCGGUAAUACGGAGGAUCCAAGCGUUAUCCGGAUUCAUUGGGUUUAAAGGGUCCGUAGGCGGAUUUUUAAGUCAGUGGUGAAAGCCGACAGCUCAACUGUCGAACUGCCAUUGAUACUGGAAAUCUUGAGUACAAAUGAAGUAGGCGGAAUGAGUCAUGUAGCGGUGAAAUGCAUAGAUAUGACUCAGAACACCGAUUGCGAAGGCAGCUUACUAACAUGUAACUGACGCUGAGGGACGAAAGCGUGGGGAGCGAACAGGAUUAGAUACCCUGGUAGUCCACGCCGUAAACGAUCAUCACUCGCUGUUGGCGAUAUACUGUCAGCGGCCAAGCGAAAGUAUUAAGUGAUGCACCUGGGGGAGUACGCCGGCAACGGUGAAACUCAAAGGAAUUGACGGGGGCCCGCACAAGCGGUGGAGCAUGUGGUUUAAUUCGAUGAUACGCGAGGAACCUUACCAGGGCUUAAAUGUAGUUUGACCGGCUUGGAAACAGGCCUUCUCUUCGG